UACAGAGGUCUCGAGCGUUAGGCGGAAUCACUGGGCUUAAAGCGUGUGUAGGCGGAUCGUUAAGUGCCUUGUGAAAUCCCACGGCUCAACCGUGGAACUGCUUGGCAUACUGGCGGUCUUGAGCAACCUAGGGGCGAGCGGAACAAAUGGUGGAGCGGUGAAAUGCGUAGAUAUCAAGAGGAACACCUGCGGCGAAGGCGGGUUGCUGGGCCGACACUGACGCUGAUGCGCGAAAGCCAGGGGAGCGAACGGG
rnacentral:rRNA from 1 species